rnacentral:rRNA from 1 species
GCUAGCGGCAUGCUUAACACAUGCAAGUCGAACGGCAGCGCGGGGAGCUUGCUCCCUGGCGGCGAGUGGCGACGGGUGAGUAAUGUGUAGGAAUCUGCCUUAUAGUGGGGGAUAACCCGAGGAAACUCGGGCUAAUACCGCGUAAUCUCUACGGAGCAAAGAGGGCCUCUGUUUUAAGCUCUCGCUAUAAGAUGAGCCUACAUCGGAUUAGCUAGUUGGUGGGGUAAAGGCCUACCAAGGCGACGAUCCGUAGCUGGUUUGAGAAGAUGAUCAGCCACACUGGGACUGAGACACGGCCCAGACUCCUACGGGAGGCAGCAGUGGGGAAUAUUGGACAAUGGGCGAAAGCCUGAUCCAGCAAUGCCGCGUGUGUGAAGAAGGCCUUAGGGUUGUAAAGCACUUUCAGCGAGGAAGAAAAGCUUAUGGCUAAUACCUAUAAGUGUUGACGUUACUCGCAGAAGAAGCACUGGCUAACUCUGUG